CUUUUGUAUAAUGGGUCAGCGACUUAUAUUCUGUAGCAAGGUUAACCGAAUAGGGGAGCCGAAGGGAAACCGAGUCUUAACUGGGCGUUAAGUUGCAGGGUAUAGACCCGAAACCCGGUGAUCUAGCCAUGGGCAGGUUGAAGGUUGGGUAACACUAACUGGAGGACCGAACCGACUAAUGUUGAAAAAUUAGCGGAUGACUUGUGGCUGGGGGUGAAAGGCCAAUCAAACCGGGAGAUAGCUGGUUCUCCCCGAAAGCUAUUUAGGUAGCGCCUCGUGAAUUCAUCUCCGGGGGUAGAGCACUGUUUCGGCAAGGGGGUCAUCCCGACUUACCAACCCGAUGCAAACUGCGAAUACCGGAGAAUGUUAUCACGGGAGACACACGGCGGGUGCUAACGUCCGUCGUGAAGAGGGAAACAACCCAGACCGCCAGCUAAGGUCCCAAAGUCAUGGUUAAGUGGGAAACGAUGUGGGAAGGCCCAGACAGCCAGGAUGUUGGCUUAGAAGCAGCCAUCAUUUAAAGAAAGCGUAAUAGCUCACUGGUCGAGUCGGCCUGCGCGGAAGAUGUAACGGGGCUAAACCAUGCACCGAAGCUGCGGCAGCGACACUAUGUGUUGUUGGGUAGGGGAGCGUUCUGUAAGCCUGUGAAGGUGUGCUGUGAGGCAUGCUGGAGGUAUCAGAAGUGCGAAUGCUGACAUAAGUAACGAUAAAGCGGGUGAAAAGCCCGCUCGCCGGAAGACCAAGGGUUCCUGUCCAACGUUAAUCGGGGCAGGGUGAGUCGACCCCUAAGGCGAGGCCGAAAGGCGUAGUCGAUGGGAAACAGGUUAAUAUUCCUGUACUUGGUGUUACUGCGAAGGGGGGACGGAGAAGGCUAUGUUGGCCGGGCGACGGUUGUCCCGGUUUAAGCGUGUAGGCUGGUUUUCCAGGCAAAUCCGGAAAAUCAAGGCUGAGGCGUGAUGACGAGGCACUACGGUGCUGAAGCAACAAAUGCCCUGCUUCCAGGAAAAGCCUCUAAGCAUCAGGUAACAUCAAAUCGUACCCCAAACCGACACAGGUGGUCAGGUAGAGAAUACCAAGGCGCUUGAGAGAACUCGGGUGAAGGAACUAGGCAAAAUGGUGCCGUAACUUCGGGAGAAGGCACGCUGAUAUGUAGGUGAAGUCCCUCGCGGAUGGAGCUGAAAUCAGUCGAAGAUACCAGCUGGCUGCAACUGUUUAUUAAAAACACAGCACUGUGCAAACACGAAAGUGGACGUAUACGGUGUGACGCCUGCCCGGUGCCGGAAGGUUAAUUGAUGGGGUUAGCCG
rnacentral:rRNA from 1 species